rnacentral:rRNA from 1 species
GAACGAACGCUGGCGGCAUGCCUAACACAUGCAAGUCGAACGAGACCUUCGGGUCUAGUGGCGCACGGGUGCGUAACGCGUGGGAACCUGCCUUUAGGUUCGGAAUAACUCAGAGAAAUUUGAGCUAAUACCGGAUGAUGUCUUCGGACCAAAGAUUUAUCGCCUUUAGAUGGGCCCGCGUUGGAUUAGCUAGUUGGUGGGGUAAAGGCCUACCAAGGCGACGAUCCAUAGCUGGUCUGAGAGGAUGAUCAGCCACACUGGGACUGAGACACGGCCCAGACUCCUACGGGAGGCAGCAGUGGGGAAUAUUGGACAAUGGGCGAAAGCCUGAUCCAGCAAUGCCGCGUGAGUGAUGAAGGCCUUAGGGUUGUAAAGCUCUUUUACCCGAGAUGAUAAUGACAGUAUCGGGAGAAUAAGCUCCGGCUAACUCCGUG